UACGAAGGGUGCAAGCGUUAAUCGGAAUUACUGGGCGUAAAGGGUGCGUAGGCGGUUAGUUAAGCCUGUUGUGAAAUCCCCGGGCUCAACCUGGGAAUGGCGAUGGAUACUGGGCAGCUAGAGUGUGUCAGAGGAUGGUGGAAUUCCCGGUGUAGCGGUGAAAUGCGUAGAGAUCGGGAGGAACAUCAGUGGCGAAGGCGGCCAUCUGGGACAACACUGACGCUGAAGCACGAAAGCGUGGGGAGCAAACAGG
rnacentral:rRNA from 1 species